rnacentral:misc_RNA from 1 species
GUAAUUCUAAGAACCAGAUCAAGACCCAAUGUAAAAGAAUUUUGAACUAAAUAAGAGAAGAGGUGGAAACUUUUUCUCAUUGGGUGAGAGUUUGUAAUGAGUUUUAAAGGUAUUUAAGCUUUUUGAGACUUAUGGUGUAAGGAUUUCAGGUAAAUCACUAAAAUACUUUCACCAUUGAGCAAACCAUGAAGGGGUUUUGGAAGGAUCAAAUGAUUUUUGGAAAUAGAAGAGCCAAGAAUGACUAUUCUUAUGGUUUUGUAUGAGAAAGGUAUUAUAUCAUGCCUGUUGGUAAUCUCAAUAAUUGAAAUGUUGACAAUGGUCAAUCCUGUUUUGGAAUGAUAAAGAAAAUUUUUUUUGUUUAGUAAGUUCUUGUCCCCAAUCAGAAGUAUU